rnacentral:rRNA from 1 species
CCUACGGGAGGCAGCAGUGGGGAAUAUUGCACAAUGGGGGGAACCCUGAUGCAGCGACGCCGCGUGAGCGAAGAAGUAUUUCGGUAUGUAAAGCUCUAUCAGCAGGGAAGAAAAUGACGGUACCUGACUAAGAAGCCCCGGCUAACUACGUGCCAGCAGCCACGGUAAUACGUAGGGGGCAAGCGUUAUCCGGAUUUACUGGGUGUAAAGGGAGCGCAGACGGCUGUGCAAGUCUGGAGUGAAAGGCGGGGGCCCAACCCCCGGACUGCUCUGGAAACUGUAAAGCUGGAGUGCAGGAGAGGUAAGCGGAAUUCCUAGUGUAGCGGUGAAAUGCGUAGAUAUACGGAGGAACACCAGAGGCGAAGGCGGAUUGCUGGACAGUAACUGACGCUGAGGCGCGAAAGCGUGGGGAGCAAACAGGAUUAGAUACCCUGGUAGUC